rnacentral:rRNA from 1 species
UACGUAGGGUGCGAGCGUUGCCCGGAAUUAUUGGGCGUAAAGGGCGCGUAGGCGGCUUUGCAAGUGACGGGUGAAAUCCCUCGGCUUAACCGAGGAACUGCCUGUCAGACUGUGAGGCUUGAGACCGGGAGAGGUGAGUGGAAUUCCCAGUGUAGCGGUGAAAUGCGUAGAUAUUGGGAGGAACACCAGUGGCGAAGGCGGCUCACUGGACCGGAACUGACGCUGAGGCGCGAAAGCGUGGGGAGCAAACAGG